GUCGGGAAUUUUGCGCAAUGGACGAAAGUCUGACGCAGCAACGCCGCGUGAGGGAUGAAGGCCUUCGGGUUGUAAACCUCUUUUCUCAGGGACGAUAAUGACGGUACCUGAGGAAUAAGCCACGGCUAACUACGUGCCAGCAGCCGCGGUAAUACGUAGGUGGCGAGCGUUGUCCGGCUUUACUGGGCGUAAAGAGCGCGCAGGCGGUCGUACAAGUCGCGUGUGAAAGCCCCCGGCUCAACUGGGGAGGGUCACGCGAUACUGUUCGACGCGAAGGCAGGAGAGGGAAGUGGAAUUCCCGGUGUAGUGGUGAAAUGCGUAGAUAUCGGGAGGAACACCAGUGGCGAAGGCGACUUCCUGGCCUGUUCUUGACGCUGAGGCGCGAAAGCUAGGGUAGCAAACGGGAUUAGAAACCCGGGUAGUCC
rnacentral:rRNA from 1 species